GACGAACGCUGGCGGCGUGCCUAAUACAUGCCAGUUGAGCGCUGAAGGUUGGUACUUGUACCAACUGGAUGAGCAGCGAACGGGUGAGUAACGCGUGGGGAAUCUGCCUUUGAGCGGGGGACAACAUUUGGAAACGAAUGCUAAUACCGCAUAAAAACUUUAAACACAAGUUUUAAGUUUGAAAGAUGCAAUUGCAUCACUCAAAGAUGAUCCCGCGUUGUAUUAGCUAGUUGGUGAGGUAAAGGCUCACCAAGGCGAUGAUACAUAGCCGACCUGAGAGGGUGAUCGGCCACAUUGGGACUGAGACACGGCCCAAACUCCUACGGGAGGCAGCAGUAGGGAAUCUUCGGCAAUGGACGAAAGGCUGACCGAGCAACGCCGCGUGAGUGAAGAAGGUUUUCGGAUCGUAAAACUCUGUUGGUAGAGAAGAACGUUGGUGAGAGUGGAAAGCUCAUCAAGUGACGGUAACUACCCAGAAAGGGACGGCUAACUACGUG
rnacentral:rRNA from 1 species